rnacentral:misc_RNA from 1 species
AAGUCGUAACAAGGUCUCCGUAGGUGAACCUGCGGAGGGAUCAUUAACACGUUUCUAACGUUACCAACCAAACGCGAACUCGAAGCGAAAGGCGCAAGCUUAGUAGUUUCAAUCGACCUGAAAGAAAGUGAUCGUUUAGUUCUACUAGUGAUGGGCGAAACUUUCAUUAGUAGUAGCGGUAGAAUUGAACUUACAUAGCUCGACUAUGAAGGUUACUUUCUCUCAGGUUAAACCAUUUCUUUUCAUCACAGGAAAGCAAAAACCCCUUUCACCCCCUAUGAUAAUUGACUGAAAUACUAUCGAAUGGGAGAAAUCCUACUUGAUAAUUAAAUAAACUAAAGCACAACUCUUAGCAACGGAUAUCUAGGUUCUC